rnacentral:rRNA from 1 species
GGAUUAACGCUGGCGGCAUGCCUAAUACAUGCAAGUCGAACGGAGGUGCUUGCACCUCAGUGGCGAACGGGUGAGUAACACGUAUCUAAUCUACCUUCUAGCGGGGGAUAACUUUUGGAAACGAAAGGUAAUACCGCAUGUGGAUGUUAUUAUCGCAUGAGAAAACAUUCAAAGAUCCGUUUGGAUCACUAGAAGAUGAGGAUGCGGCGUAUUAGCUAGUAGGCGGGGUAAAGGCCCACCUAGGCGAUGAUACGUAGCCGAACUGAGAGGUUGAUCGGCCACAUUGGGACUGAGAUACGGCCCAGACUCCUACGGGAGGCAGCAGUAGGGAAUUUUUCACAAUGGACGAAAGUCUGAUGAAGCAAUGCCGCGUGAGUGAUGACGGCCUUCGGGUUGUAAAGCUCUGUUGUAAGGGAAGAAAAAAUAGGAGAGGAAAUGCUCUUAUCUUGACGGUACCUUACCAGAAAGCCACGGCUAACUAUGUGCCAGCAGCCGCGGUAAUACAUAGGUGGCAAGCGUUAUCCGGAUUUAUUGGGCGUAUAGGGUGCGUAGGCGGUUUCGCAAGUUUGAGGUUAAAGCCCGGAGCUCAACUCCGGUUCGCCUUGAAAACUGCGGGACUAGAAUAUCAGAGAGGUAAGCGGAAUUCCAUGUGUAGCGGUAAAAUGCGUAGAUAUAUGGAAGAACACCAGUGGCGAAAGCGGCUUACUGGCUGAUUAUUGACGCUGAGGCACGAAAGCGUGGGGAGCAAAUAGGAUUAGAUACCCUAGUAGUCCACGCCGUAAACGUUGAGUACUAAGUAUUGGGGAUUACCUCAGUGCUGCAGCUAACGCAUUAAGUACUCCGCCUGAGUAGUAUGCUCGCAAGAGUGAAACUCAAAGGAAUUGACGGGGACCCGCACAAGUGGUGGAGCAUGUGGUUUAAUUCGAAGCAACACGAAGAACCUUACCAGGGCUUGACAUACAGUGCAAAGCUACAGAGAUGUAGUGGAGGUUAACAUUGAUACAGGUGGUGCAUGGUUGUCGUCAGUUCGUGCCGUGAGGUGUUGGGUUAAGUCCCGCAACGAACGCAACCCUUGUCGUUAGUUACUAACAUUAAGUUGAGGACUCUAACGAGACUGCUAGUGUAAGCUAGAGGAAGGUGGGGAUGACGUCAAAUCAUCAUGCCCCUUAUGUCCUGGGCUACACACGUGCUACAAUGGCCGAUACAAAGAGUCGCAAUCUCGCGAGGGGGAGCUAAUCUCAAAAAGUCGGUCUCAGUUCGGAUUGAAGUCUGCAACUCGACUUCAUGAAGCCGGAAUCACUAGUAAUCGCGAAUCAGCUAUGUCGCGGUGAAUACGUUCUCGGGUCUUGUACACACCGCCCGUCAAACCACGAGAGUUGGUAAUACCAGAAGUACGUUUCCUAACCGUAAGGAAGGCGCGUCCCAAGGUAGGACUAGCGAUUGGGGUUAAGUCGUAACAAGGUAUCCGUACGGGAACGUGCGGAUGGAUCACCUCCU